GACGAACGCUGGCGGCGCGCCUAACACAUGCAAGUCGAACGAGCGAGUAGAGAGUUUGCUUUCUCGAGCGAGUGGCGAACGGGUGAGUAACGCGUGAGGAACCUGCCUCAAAGAGGGGGACAACAGUUGGAAACGACUGCUAAUACCGCAUAAGCCCACAGCUCGGCAUCGAGCAGAGGGAAAGGAGUGAUCCGCUUUGAGAUGGCCUCGCGUCCGAUUAGCUGGUUGGUGAGGUAACGGCCCACCAAGGCGACGAUCGGUAGCCGGACUGAGAGGUUGAACGGCCACAUUGGGACUGAGACACGGCCCAG
rnacentral:rRNA from 1 species